GUCGCUUUAGCUCACUUGGGAGAGCGCCAGACUGAAGUUCACUUCGGUCUCACAGCAUUCUGUGCGGUAUCUGGAGGUACUGUGUUCGAUCCACAGAAGCGACA
rnacentral:tRNA from 1 species